UACAGAGGUCUCAAGCGUUGUUCGGAUUCAUUGGGCGUAAAGGGUGCGUAGGUGGCGCCGUAAGUCAGGUGUGAAAUCUCGGAGCUCAACUCCGAAACUGCACUUGAUACUGCGGUGCUCGAGUACUGGAGAGGAGAUUGGAAUUUACGGUGUAGCAGUGAAAUGCGUAGAUAUCGUAAGGAAGACCAGUGGCGAAGGCGAAUCUCUGGACAGUUACUGACACUGAGGCACGAAGGCCAGGGGAGCGAACGGG
rnacentral:rRNA from 1 species